CAUCUCUUGACCAGGGUGUUCUCACCAUGCCCUUUCUACAAACAAAAAAAUGAAGAUGUGGAGACUUGGAGACAGGUGGCACCUCGUGCUUCCUCCGAAGGGAGAGCCCAUUUCAUAACAGCUGGAUCAAAGGCAUGAAAUGAACAUGGAGCUCCUGAAGAUGAAGAGAAGGCAUGGCUGCCAGGGAGAAAUUGUACAUUACAGGAAUGCAGAUGUGAUUCCGGCGACUUAGCUUCAACCCUGUGGAUGAGGGUAACCUAGAGGCUAGAAGAACAAUAGGACAGAAGAAGCCUGGGUCCCUGAACAACCCUGUGGAGCAUAGACACCUACCUGGCCUGGACUGCCAGCUCACAGUGGGCCUCUCCGUGAGAGAGAAGGAAACUUCCGUCUUGUUUAAGCAACUGUACUUUUGAGAAUCUCUUGGUCUAUACCCUAAUGAAUAGGCCAUCAUAAAUGGAUAUCAAAGUAAGGAAAUUUGUGUAAAUGAUUUAAUAAAACAUUACUUUAGGUAUGAAAUAA